AAUAAAGAGUGCACAUUUCGAUAUAACCAAAUAUAUUAUUUUUGCUCAAAUAUCACCAAAUGAUAUUAACUAGCCCGUGAGGCACCCAGGCUCAAAACUGAUUUGAGACGCUCUUCAUCGAAUUCAGAAGGUCUUCCGCUGCGGGACGUGUCAUCGACGUCAAAGUCGCCAUACAAGUCACAAGCGUCCCGGGCUGCUUUGGCAGCUUUUUGACCUCGAUGGAAAGCAAAGAAGAGCAGGUGUUGAAAAUUUUGGUUUUUGCCUCUUGGGUAUUCCAUAGUAGUUUUGCAGAGCGAAAGAGUUCUAUCGAAUGAGCGGUUAGCCUUUGCCAAACAGAAUACAAAUCGUUGUAAAAAAAAAAGAAAAUAUAAAAACGCUAUGAAAAUAUUCCCCAAUAUACCACGUCAAAAGAAUUUGAAUUUUUCAUCAGAGAAAUUGGUAUGCUGCCUGAAAGAUGGAGUGGAGUUGUACCUUGCAAUGACAAGUACUUCAUUAAAUAUUCACUUAAUUGUUUAAAUAAUUUACAGCUUUGGCUAAGAAAUCACGGAAACUUUUUCCCAUACUCAAUAAAAACGCUAUGAACUUGUAACCUUGUUAAAAACGCUAUGAACUUGGUACCCAACCCAAUAUAUAUGAUACAUACGAGGUGUGUUUUUAAAGUAAGUAUCGUUUUUAAAUUACGACUCCGCAGCGCUGCGGGCGCCGUUUAGAGCCUGCGCGUCGUGUAGCUACAUCUGCUGGGAAGCCACAGACGCUAUUACGGAACCAUCCGAUCGAGUCUACAUCUGUUUGCGUGAUUUUAAAAUGCCUCCACCUAUUGAGAACUCCACCGACUGUGAAGUGCGUGCUGUAAUACGGUUUCUCUGUGCUCAAGUCUUCAAAUCAGUUGACAUUCAUCACCAAAUUAGUGAAGUAUGUAUAUGGUGUAUGGUGACAAAGUAAAAACGACUGUGAAUCAGGCGGCAAUCUUCUUUGACGAUGGCAUACAAAAGCUGGUCUCAAUAUAUGAUAAAUGCCUCAAUAGUAAUGGAAAUUAUGUAGAAUAGUAGAGUAAAGUGUGGCCUAUCAAGUGAAUAGAUUAUUUUUGGAAAAAAAUUACUUAUUCUUCUAUGUUAAAACGGUACUUACUUAAAAACACGCCUCGUACAUAUUCCGCAACUAUUUAAAAAAAAUUAUUGAGUCAUAAUUUGAAAUUAUAUUUAAAUAGCGUUAAAUCAAAAACUAAAAACUUAAAAUAUGAUUAAACUGAAAACAAAAACCAUAAACACAAACCAAAUUUGUAAGCAAUUAAUGUCAUGUAUGCCUCUCACACUCAAAAUGGAACAGUUAGAAUUCAUCAGCUGGGUAGCAUGUUCGAAAGUGUUUAUUUAUUGUUUUUAUGUUCGAAAAGUGUUUAUUUCCAGUAGUAUGUAUUUCAGUGAUUAUCGACGACAAUUAAAGUACAGUAAAUUUUAAUAAAAACCUCAAAGAAAAAAGUCCGUUCGCGAAAUUAGUGAAAUUGUUGGUAAAAAAGUCUACAGAACAUAAUAUUAUUAAACGGUACAAGGACAGGGAAAACGUGCGUGAUAAAAAACCUUACUGAACAAACGGAAUGAAAAUCAAUAACUGGAGCUGUAGAUUCAUACUGCGUUUAACAAAACAGAAUCCACAGUUAUCUGCUGUAGAUUUGAAAAAACUAUAAUAUUAAAAGAGGGAAAAAAAUUUGGAAGUUUGUGCAGAAACGAUUCGCCGACUACUUAAAAAAAACAAAUUUUAAGCAUGGGUGCUACGACUCAGUGAAUUAAUGAUUCGAUAUAUUCGUGUUAUAUUUAAUUCCUUUCUUAUCAACUGUGAGUCGAAAUCUAUGCAGUUAUCGGCCGUGAUAAAGAAGUAAUCGGGAUGAAGAACUUAUUUCGUGGAGGAAGCCUGAGAAACGGCUACCCCACUCCAUUGGCCAGUUUUUUUCGAUUUUCGUGGUGUGGUGCACUAUGAAUUCCUUCCACCUGACCAAAAUAAGGAAUAUUAUUUGAGCGUUAUGCGUCGUUUACGUGAAGCAAUUCGUCUAAAAAGACCAGAAUUAUGGGCCAACAACUCUUAGUUUUUGCAUCACGAUAAUGCACCGUCUCACACUGCACUCGUUCUUCGUGACCAUUUCACCAAAAAUUCCACGCAUAUCGUUCCGCCACCACCGUAUUCGCCUGAUUUGGCUCCGUGUGACUUCUGGCUAUUCCCAAAACUCAAGAGACCACUCCGGGGAACGCGUUUCGAGUCGAUUGAGGAGAUAAAAGCUGAAUCGAAGAAGGUGCUGAUGGCUAUACCGGAAUUGGACUAUUUGGCAUGUUUCGGGGAUUGGAAAAAUCGUUGACGGGGAAAAAAAUAUUAAUCCUGGCAAUCCUAAUAAGGAUAAUGGAAAACUUUUAUCAAAUUAUUGCAUUGUCAUCGGUCCUUGAUAGGUGUGCAAAAUUCCAAGUCGAUCAGAUUUUUAGAAGCCAGUGAAAAUUAAGCUCAAAGAUUCCGUUACAUACAUACAUACAACCCGACCUAAUAAAAGUGUGUUAAAAAAAAACCAAAAGGCUAGGUUGGAGUUUGCGAAGAAGUUCCAAUAUGAGAAUGUGGACUUAAGGUCUAAGGUUUUAUUUAUGGAUGAAAUCCAAAUUAAUAUUUUUGCAUCAGAUGGCAAGUGUUUUUUGGGGAGAAUGCCUGGAAAAGACUUUGAAGACAAAAAUAUUAAGAAGGCGCUGAAGUAUAUGGCGGCUCAAUAAUGAUAUGGGGCUGCAUCACGGGGCUAGCGUCGGAAAAGUACAAGUUAUUGAUGGAAUUUUGCAUAGUAAAGGGUACAUUGGCAUUUAAAAAAAAAUGUUCUCAGCAGUGUAUUGUAUUUGUAUUUUAUCAAGACAAUGAUCUUAAGCACACGUUGUGGAAUGCUCGGAAUCAGUUACAAUUACUGUACUGUUCAAAGGUUUUGGCUACGCUUGCUCAAUCUCCCGACAUGAAUGCCAUUGAAGAUUUGUCCGGAAUACUCAAAAACAGACUUGCUACAGGAUAACAGGAAAACAAGCAGUAUUGGAGGAAUGGGGAAAAAAUGAGGCCAGUUAUUGCCGAAAACACAUUGAAAGGCGCUUAGAGGAGGUAAUAAAAUACAAAGGGAAAUCGACAAAAUAAAUAUUUUACUAUUAUUUAUUUAAUGAAAUUUGCUGUCCUCCAGUCGAUAUUCCAAAUAUUUUACUUAGCAGCAUUCGCAGCGCGAUGACCGCUUUGCCGUUAAUCAUUCUAAAAUGUUCCUUUAUAUAGCAAAAACUAUUUCAAUCAUAAAUGAAAGCGUACGAAGCAAGGCUCGUUCAUUCAUAAAACGAGCCCACAUCUUCCCUCAUGUGCCUGAGCCUAAGCCAUAUUUUUCUCGAGGAAGACAAAUAUUAUAUAUUUGGUGACCCGUCAAUUUUUGUCGUGGCAAGAGCCGGGAGCUUCGUAUAUAAAGCGUUUUUCAGUAAGAGCGCUUCAACUUUUUUUUGAAUAAAACACAAACGGUUUGACUUUUUUACUAAUUUUUUUUUUAUUAUCGAGUUUGAACAUACACAUUUAAGUAUGAAAUUCGAUUUCUUUUGCAUGACCACCGCGUGCACGUUUUACGAAGUCCAAUCGUUGAACCCAAUUUUCGACCACUCUUUUGCAUAAAUCGGCCGAAAUUCCAGCAAUUCCGCGUUCAAUAUUGGCUCUGAGCUCACAAAUCGUCGCCGGCUUGUUACUGUAGACCAAUGACUUCAGAUAACCCCAAAGAAAAUAGUCUAGAGGCGUCAAAUCACACGAGCGCGGAUCAUUUUCGAGUUGAUCUUCAGCCCAAUUUACGAAUCGACGUCGCUUCAAAUGGUCAAACUGCUUCAGUUCUUGUGUCAGCUUGAUCUUGUACGGAUGUAGGCCAAGAUCUUUUCGCAAAAUUCGCCACAAUGACGACACAGAAAGGCCCAAUUGAUGAGAACGUCGUGUGAGCGACACAUUUGCGUCUUCUUGAACUGAAACCCUGGCGGCAGCAAUAUUUUCAACACUUCGUGCACUUCUUGCUCUCACUGGCCACGGAACGUUAUGUAGCGAAAACGUAGAUACAAAUUUUUUCACUAGACGGUCGAUUGUCGAACGGGAUGGCUUGUUAAAUGGACCGUAAAAUGGCCGUAAUGCUCUUAAAGUAGCAGCAACAGAACGAUUAUUUUCAUAAAAAAUUUGCACGAUUUGCAAUCGUUGCUCAAGUGUGUAACGUUCCAUGAUGAAAUGUAUACUAAUGAAGUUUACAAAUGACAAGCGAAAAAUAAAAAAUAUUGCGUCGUUCGCCCUCCCUAUUGAAAAACGCCUUACAUACAUAUGUAUGGAUAACCAUAUGUAUGGAAAUACAUGCAUAUGUAUGUCUUCUAAAUGCGCGACAGAAUGGCGACAGUCGUAGCGAAUGGUGAUUGUUAUCAAUAGCAACUGUGUGCGUAGAAUCAUACAGUAAUGAUGUAAAAAAGCCACAGUAAGCUGUAUUCUAAGCUUAGAUAUAGGUACACAUGUCUUCGAAAUUUCGUACUGUUGAAAAUUUCAAAUACAUUUCUUUUUUUUCUGCCAUAGAAGAUAAAUACUCAUUUAAGAUAUAUCUUUUGGUGUGAGAUUAUCCAAAUAAUA